GACGAACGCUGGCGGCGUGCUUAACACAUGCAAGUCGAGCGAUGAAGUUCCUUCGGGAAUGGAUUAGCGGCGGACGGGUGAGUAACACGUGGGUAACCUGCCUCAUAGAGGGGAAUAGCCUUUCGAAAGGAAGAUUGAUACCGCAUAAGAUUGUAGUUUCGCAUGAAACAGCAAUUAAAGGAGUAAUCCGCUAUGAGAUGGACCCGCGUCGCAUUAGCUAGUUGGUGAGGUAACGGCUCACCAAGGCGACGAUGCGUAGCCGACCUGAGAGGGUGAUCGGCCACAUUGGGACUGAGACACGGCCCAGACUCCUACGGGAGGCAGCAGUGGGGAAUAUUGCACAAUGGGGGAAACCUUGAUGCAGCAACGCCGCGUGAGUGAUGACGGUCUUCGGAUUGUAAAGCUCUGUCUUCAGGGACGAUAAUGACGGUACCUGAGGAGGAAGCCACGGCUAACUACGUGCCAGCCGCCGCCGUAACAC
rnacentral:rRNA from 1 species